rnacentral:rRNA from 1 species
GAUGAACGCUAGCGACAGGCUUAACACAUGCAAGUCGAGGGGCAGCGAGGGCGUAGCAAUACGCCUGUCGGCGACCGGCGCACUGGUGAGUAACACGUAUGCGACCUGCCCCCUACAGGGGUAUAACCCGUAGAAAUGCGGACUAAUCCCCCAUAGUCCCGCGGGCUGCAUGGCCUGCGGGGGAAAGGGUUUCCGGUAGGGGAUGGGCAUGCGGCGCAUUAGCUAGUUGGCGGGGCAACGGCCCACCAAGGCGACGAUGCGUAGGGGUUCUGAGAGGAAGGUCCCCCACAUUGGAACUGAGACACGGUCCAAACUCCUACGGGAGGCAGCAGUGAGGAAUAUUGGUCAAUGGGGCGAGAGCCUGAACCAGCCAAGUAGCGUGAAGGACUAAGGCCCUAUGGGUCGUAAACUUCUUUAGACGCAGAGCAAUAAGGGUCUCGUGAGAUCCGAUGAGAGUAUGCGUAGAAUAAGCAUCGGCUAACUCCGUGCCAGCAGCCGCGG